GACGAACGUUGGCGGCGUGCUUAAUACAUGCAAGUCAACUGGAGCAGUGGUAGCAAUAUCGCUGUGGAGGUGGCGCACGGGUGAGUAACACGUAGGUAAUCUGCCUUCAGGUCUGGCAUAACUCCGGGAAACCGGGGCUAAUAGCAGAUGAUGCAGCGGCUCGACAUCGAGACAGUUGUUAAAGCUAUGGCGCCUGAAGAUGAGCCUGCGUCUGAUUAGCUAGUUGGCGGGGUAACGGCCCACCAAGGCAACGAUCAGUCGCUGGUCUGAGAGGAUGAUCAGCCACACUGGAACGGAGACACGGUCCAGACGCGGACGGGAGGCAGCAGUAAGGAAUAUUGGUCAAUGGGAGAAAUCCUGAAGCAGCAACGCCGCGUGAGGGACGAAGGGCGUUUGCUUGUAAACCUCUGUAGUGAGAGAAAAAAAUCCCAAUCUGUGGGACAUGAUGGUAUCUCAAAAGUAAGCCCCGGCUAACUACGUG
rnacentral:rRNA from 1 species